rnacentral:rRNA from 1 species
AGAUUGAACGCUGGCGGCAUGCCUAACACAUGCAAGUCGAACGGGAGUAGCAAUACUCUAGUGGCGGACGGGUGAGGAAUACGUAGGAAUUUGCCCUUAAGUGGGGGAUAACCCGGGGAAACCCGGAUUAAUACCGCAUGACCUCGAAAGAGCAAAGUGGGGGAUCGCAAGACCUCACGCUUUUGGAGAAGCCUACGUCGGAUUAGCUAGUUGGUGAGGUAAUGGCUCACCAAGGCGACGAUCCGUAACUGGUCUGAGAGGAUGAUCAGUCACACCGGAACUGAGACACGGUCCGGACUCCUACGGGAGGCAGCAGUGGGGAAUAUUGGACAAUGGGCGCAAGCCUGAUCCAGCAAUGCCGCGUGUGUAGAAGAAGGCCGUUCGGUUGUAAAGCGUACUUUAAGGUUAGGGUAAAGAAAAACUACGACUCAACUACAACGUGAGUCUAGACGGUACCGAACAGAAUAA